rnacentral:rRNA from 1 species
AGCGAACGCUGGCGGCAGGCCUAACACAUGCAAGUCGAACGAACUCUUCGGAGUUAGUGGCGGACGGGUGAGUAACACGUGGGAACGUGCCUUUUGGUUCGGAAUAACUCAGGGAGACUUGUGCUAAUACCGAAUGUGCCCUUCGGGGGAAAGAUUUAUCGCCAUUAGAGCGGCCCGCGUCUGAUUAGCUAGUUGGUGAGGUAACGGCUCACCAAGGCGACGAUCAGUAGCUGGUCUGAGAGGAUGACCAGCCACACUGGGACUGAGACACGGCCCAGACUCCUACGGGAGGCAGCAGUGGGGAAUCUUGCGCAAUGGGCGAAAGCCUGACGCAGCCAUGCCGCGUGAAUGAUGAAGGUCUUAGGAUUGUAAAAUUCUUUCACCGGGGACGAUAAUGACGGUACCCGGAGAAGAAGCCCCGGCUAACUUCGUG